GACGAACGCUGGCGGCGUGCCUAAUACAUGCAAGUCGAGCGGAUCUUCAUUAGCUUGCUUUUGAAGAUCAGCGGCGGACGGGUGAGUAACACGUGGGCAACCUGCCUGUAAGACUGGGAUAACUUCGGGAAACCGGAGCUAAUACCGGAUAAUCCUUUCCCUCACAUGAGGGAAAGCUGAAAGACGGUUUCGGCUGUCACUUACAGAUGGGCCCGCGGCGCAUUAGCUAGUUGGUGAGGUAAUGGCUCACCAAGGCAACGAUGCGUAGCCGACCUGAGAGGGUGAUCGGCCACACUGGGACUGAGACACGGCCCAGACUCCUACGGGAGGCAGCAGUAGGGAAUCUUCCGCAAUGGACGAAAGUCUGACGGAGCAACGCCGCGUGAGCGAUGAAGGCCUUCGGGUCGUAAAGCUCUGUUGUCAGGGAAGAACAAGUACAGUAGUAACUGGCUGUACCUUGACGGUACCUUAUUAGAAAGCCACGGCUAACUACGUGCCAGCCGCCGCCGUAAUAC
rnacentral:rRNA from 1 species